rnacentral:rRNA from 1 species
GAUGAACGCUAGCGGCAGGCCUAACACAUGCAAGUCGAGGGGUAGAGUUCUUCGGGACUUGAGACCGGCGCACGGGUGCGUAACGCGUAUGCAAUCUACCUUAUACAGGGGAAUAGCCCAGAGAAAUUUGGAUUAAUGCCCCAUAGUGUUAUCGAAUCGCAUGGUUUGAUAACUAAAGUUCCAACGGUAUAAGAUGAGCAUGCGUCCCAUUAGUUAGUUGGUAAGGUAACGGCUUACCAAGACAAUGAUGGGUAGGGGUCCUGAGAGGGAGAUCCCCCACACUGGUACUGAGACACGGACCAGACUCCUACGGGAGGCAGCAGUGAGGAAUAUUGGUCAAUGGGCGCAAGCCUGAACCAGCCAUGCCGCGUGCAGGAAGAAGCAUCUAUGGUGUGUAAACUGCUUUUAUACAGGAAGAAACAACUCUACGUGUAGAGUCUUGACGGUACUGUAGGAAUAAGGAUCGGCUAACUCCGUG